GACGAACGCUGGCGGCGUGCCUAAUACAUGCAAGUCGAACGAAGCUGUUUUAACUGGUGCUUGCACCGACUUAAACAACUGAGUGGCGAACGGGUGAGUAACACGUGGGUAACCUGCCCCAAAGCGGGGGAUAACAUUUGGAAACAGGUGCUAAUACCGCAUAACCACAGAAACCACAUGGUUUCUGUGUCAAAGAUGGUUUCGGCUAUCACUUUGGGAUGGACCCGCGGCGUAUUAGCUAGUUGGUAAGGUAAUGGCUUACCAAGGCAAUGAUACGUAGGCGAACGGAGAGGUUGAUCGGCCACAUUGGGACUGAGAUACGGCCCAGACUCCUACGGGAGGCAGCAGUAGGGAAUUUUGCGCAAUGGACGAAAGUCUGACGCAGCAAUACCGUGUGAGGGAUGAAGCAUUUCGGUGUGUAAACCUCUGUCGUCGGUGAAUAAAGGUGUUGGGAGUGGAAAGCCCAACAUUUGAAUGUAGCCGAGAAGGAAGCACCGGCUAACUCUGUGCCAGCAGCCGCCGUAA
rnacentral:rRNA from 1 species